GAUCCUGGCUCAGGAUGAACGCUAGCGGCAGGCUUAAUACAUGCAAGUCGAACGGGAUUCGGGGUAGCAAUACUUUGAUGAGAGUGGCGCACGGGUGCGUAACGCGUAUGCAACCUACCUUUAACAGGGGAAUAGCCCCGAGAAAUCGGGAUUAAUACUCCGUAACAUUGCGGUGUGGCAUCACACUGCACUUAAAGCUGAGGCGGUUAAAGAUGGGCAUGCGUGACAUUAGCUAGUUGGUGAGGUAACGGCUCACCAAGGCAACGAUGUCUAGGGGUCCUGAGAGGGUUAUCCCCCACACUGGUACUGAGACACGGACCAGACUCCUACGGGAGGCAGCAGUAAGGAAUAUUGGUCAAUGGGCGCAAGCCUGAACCAGCCAUGCCGCGUGCAGGAAGACGGCCCUAUGGGUUGUAAACUGCUUUUGUCAGGGAAUAAACCCCCGCUCGUGAGCGGGGCUGAAGGUACCUGAAGAAUAAGCAUCGGCUAACUCC
rnacentral:rRNA from 1 species